GUUAAGGAACGACUAGUCUCGCGUUGCCAGACCUUCCCCCAAAGCCCCCCGGAAGAAGGUCUGGCGAGACCACACGGCAUCCCUGGA